UCGGAUUACAGCCGGUUGUUUUACAAGCUCACAACCAAACUUGUUGUUUUACGAGCUCACAACGAACUCGGUCGGUUUUCCCAGGCUCACCGACUAAAACCACCCCGAUUGUUUUUCCGGGAUCACAAUCGAACCCUUACACCGUUGGUUUCAACCUAGGCUCACCAACAAACCUAUACACCCUUGAUUCAAUCUCCUGAUUGAAUCAAGCAAAGACAAGAUGGAAAGAACAAGGACAAACAGAAAACCAGAGCUUCUAAA
rnacentral:lncRNA from 1 species